rnacentral:rRNA from 1 species
CCCAGACUCCUACGGGAGGCAGCAGUGGGGAAUAUUGCACAAUGGGGGGAACCCUGAUGCAGCGACGCCGCGUGAGUGAAGAAGUAUUUCGGUAUGUAAAGCUCUAUCAGCAGGGAAGAAAAUGACGGUACCUGACUAAGAAGCCCCGGCUAACUACGUGCCAGCAGCCGCGGUAAUACGUAGGGGGCAAGCGUUAUCCGGAUUUACUGGGUGUAAAGGGAGCGUAGACGGCGAUGCAAGUCUGAAGUGAAAGGCGGGGGCCCAACCCCCGGACUGCUUUGGAAACUGUAUAGCGGGAGUGCAGGAGAGGUAAGUGGAAUUCCUAGUGUAGCGGUGAAAUGCGUAGAUAUAAGGAAGAACACCAGUGGCGAAGGCGGAUGACUGGACGGCAACUGACGGUGAGGCGCGAAGGCCAGGGGAGCGAAAGGGAUUAGAUACCCGUGUACC